AAUAGCCUUUGGGGCAAGGUGAAAAAGAGCAAUCUUUUGAUUCCUUACCGGCGGUAUAGUCCGCGAGCCGUAUGGUUGAUCCGGUGCAACUCCGGAACCGACAGUAUAGUCUGGAUGGGAAAAGGCUGAA
rnacentral:ncRNA from 2 species